ensembl:scaRNA
ACAGCCUGACCCUGACCUAAAGUAAAUUCCCAGGAGACACCUUUCCUGGGUUUUGAAUUUGCCGUAACAGGUGCGAGCAUUCUAGCAGCAGUUUGGUGAUCAUGUACAAUACUGCAAACAGGA